GUUGUUGGGUAGGGGAGCGUUCUGUAAGCCGUUGAAGGUGUGCUGUGAGGCAUGCUGGAGGUAUCAGAAGUGCGAAUGCUGACAUAAGUAACGAUAAAGCGGGUGAAAAGCCCGCUCGCCGGAAGACCAAGGGUUCCUGUCCAACGUUAAUCGGGGCAGGGUGAGUCGACCCCUAAGGCGAGGCCGAAAGGCGUAGUCGAUGGGAAACAGGUUAAUAUUCCUGUACUUGGUGUUACUGCGAAGGGGGGACGGAGAAGGCUAUGUCAGCCGGGCGACGGUUGUCCCGGUUUAAGCAUGUAGGCGGAGGUUCCAGGUAAAUCCGGUACCUUAUUAACGCUGAGGUGUGAUGACGAGGCACUACGGUGCUGAAGUGAUAAAUGCCCUGCUUCCAGGAAAAGCCUCUAAGCAUCAGGUAACACGAAAUCGUACCCCAAACCGACACAGGUGGUCAGGUAGAGAAUACCAAGGCGCUUGAGAGAACUCGGGUGAAGGAACUAGGCAAAAUGGUGCCGUAACUUCGGGAGAAGGCACGCUGAUAUGUAGGUGAAG
rnacentral:rRNA from 1 species